UACGUAGGGUGCAAGCGUUAAUCGGAAUUACUGGGCGUAAAGCGUGCGCAGGCGGCCAUCCAAGUCAGUGGUGAAAGCCCGGAGCUCAACUCCGGAAUUGCCAUUGAAACUGUUUGGCUUGAGGACGAGAGAGGUGAGUGGAAUUCCCAGUGUAGAGGUGAAAUUCGUAGAUAUUGGGAAGAACACCGGUGGCGAAGGCGGCUCACUGGCUCGUUUCUGACGCUCAUGCACGAUAGCGUGGGGAUCAAACAGG
rnacentral:rRNA from 1 species